rnacentral:rRNA from 1 species
AUGCUAACCAGGCUGGCUGAGUACAACGAACGCCUGACAGAAUCAUGUGGGGACAACCCUGGCGUCCGCGAUGAUCGGGCUCCGCACCACGUGAUCUUCAGACACCCAGCGGAGGCUCCCCUCGGCCAGCUGCCCGGCAUCGGCGUCGCCGUCGCCUCCCCCGCUGCUCACGGUCACCGUGAAUGUCUUCUUCUCCAUCGCCGACGUGAACUCCAGCGACUCUGGCUCCACCUUCACCUUGAGCCACUUGGGCACGUCCAGGUGAGCGGUGUACACCGACAUCGCCGGCCCCACGUUUGUCACCGUCCGCUUCGCCUUGAACGGCUUCUCGGAGAGCGGCACCAGUAUCGCCGGGUAGUUCAGCUGCGCCUCCGGGAUGGACCCCAUCGCCGCGCACGUCAAGCUGCUGUUCCCCGUGAUAGUCUUCAUGGCCGGCUCGCCGAGCAGCCCGCAGAUGUAGGCGCUGUAGUCGCCGACGUCGAGGUCGUAGACCAGGCCUGGGUCCACGGCCUUCGCCGCGUCCACGUGGCCGGCGCCGAUCGAGUAGAAGCUCGCCUUCCGGUGCUCUUCGUCCAUGAUGGGGUGCCCCGCGUUGUCGGCGGUGCUGGACGUGGUCAUGAUGGCCGACUUGACCGCCGACGGCGACCAGUCCGGGUGCGCCUUCUUCACGAGCGCCACGAUGCCGGUGGCGUGCGGCGCGGCCAUGGACGUGCCGGAGGCAACGUUGUAGCUGUACGACUCCGUGCCAUCGAUGGGCACCAUCGACGGCCACGCGGCGAGGAUGUUGAGCCCCGGCGCCAUGAUGUCGGGCUUGAGCACGCCGGGGCUGGCCGCGUUCGGCCCGCGGGACGAGAAGGCCGCGACGAUCGGCGCCGGCUUCACGUGAACAAUCGAGCUGUUGAACAGUAUCGUUGCGGUGUGGGCGGCCGCCGUCGAGCCCACCCUGGCGUAGCCCAUGAUCUUGGCGCCGUCGGUCGCGGUCACCUGUGA